rnacentral:rRNA from 1 species
ACUAGAAUGAAUGGCUAAAUGAGGACUAAACUGUCUCUUACAGGUUAGCCAAUGAAAUUGAUAUCCCAGUACAAAAGCUGGAAUAAACCCAUAAGACGAGAAGACCCUGUGGAGCUUUAAAACCAAGUCCACUGAAUAUGGAUCUUGAAUUUUUAGUUGGGGCGACUUUGGAGUAAAACAAAACCUCCAAGUAAAACCUCUAUUAAGAUCAACACACCAAAAUAGUAGCACAGACCCAGCAUAUAUUCCACCAAUUGCCUGAUCAACGAACCAAGUUACCCCAGGGAUAACAGCGCCAUCCCCUUUUAGAGUCCCUAUCGACAAGGGGGUUUACGACCUCGAUGUUGGAUCAGGACACCCCAAUGGUGCAGCCGCCAUUAAAG